UACGGGGGGAGCAAGCGUUGUUCGGAUUUACUGGGCGUAAAGGGCGCGUAGGCGGCCAGCGCACGUCAGUUGUGAAAUCUCCGGGCUUAACUCGGAACGGUCAACUGAUACUGCGCGGCUAGAGUGCGGAAGGGGCAACUGGAAUUCUCGGUGUAGCGGUGAAAUGCGUAGAUAUCGAGAGGAACACCUGCGGCGAAGGCGGGUUGCUGGGCCGACACUGACGCUGACAGCGCGAAAGCUAGGGGAGCGAACGGG
rnacentral:rRNA from 1 species